rnacentral:rRNA from 1 species
AGAGUUUGAUCCUGGCUCAGGACGAACGCUGGCGGCGGGCUUAACACAUGCAAGUCGAACGAAAAGCUCCGGGCUUGCCCGGGGUGGAAAGUGGCGCACGGGUGAGUAACGCGUAGGCAAUCUACCCUCAGCAGGGGAACAACCCCGCGAAAGCGGAGCUAAUACCCCAUAAUGUCCCUUGGUCGCAUGACCUCGGGAUCAAAGUUCAGGCGGCUGAGGAUGAGCCUGCGUUAGAUUAGCUAGUUGGUGGGGUAACGGCCCACAAAGGCAACGAUCUAUAGCGGGUCUGAGAGGAUGAUCCGCCACACUGGCACUGAGACACGGGCCAGACUCCUACGGGAGGCAGCAGUGAGGAAUAUUGCGCAAUGGACGAAAGUCUGACGCAGCCACGCCGCGUGCAGGAAGACACCCCUCCGGGGCGUAAACUGCUUUUAUAUGGGAAGAACACCCUGCCCUGCAGGGUCUGACGGUACCAUACGAAUAAGGACCGGCUAACUCCGUGCCAGCAGCCGCGGUAAUACGGAGGGUCCAAGCGUUGUCCGGAAUCACUGGGUGUAAAGGGUGCGCAGGCGGGCUUGUAAGUCAGAGGUGAAAUCCCCCGGCCUAACCGGGGAACUGCCUUUGAUACUGCAAGUCUUGAGUCUUGGAGAGGUUGCUAGAAUUCGUGGUGUAGCGGUGAAAUGCGUAGAUAUCACGAGGAAUACCUGAUGCGUAGGCGGGCAACUGGACAAGUACUGACGCUGAGGCACGAAAGCGUGGGGAGCGAACAGGAUUAGAUACCCUGGUAGUCCACGCCGUAAACGAUGGAUGCUCGAUGCUGGUCCGUUUCA